GACGAACGCUGGCGGCGUGCUUAACACAUGCAAGUCGAACGGUGAUCUUUGGUGCUUGCACUGGAGUGAUCAGUGGCGAACGGGUGAGUAACACGUGAGUAACCUGCCCCAGACUCUGGAAUAACCUCGGGAAACCGAUGCUAAUACCGGAUACGACGCAGAGCCGCAUGGUUUCUGUGUGGAAAGUUUUUCGGUUUGGGAUGGACUCGCGGCCUAUCAGCUUGUUGGUGAGGUAAUGGCUCACCAAGGCGACGACGGGUAGCCGGCCUGAGAGGGCGAUCGGCCACACUGGGACUGAGACACGGCCCAGACUCCUACGGGAGGCAGCAGUGGGGAAUAUUGCACAAUGGGCGAAAGCCUGAUGCAGCGACGCCGCGUGAGGGAUGAAGGCCUUCGGGUUGUAAACCUCUUUCAGCUCUGAAGAAGCGAAAGUGACGGUAGGAGCAGAAGAAGCACCGGCUAACUACG
rnacentral:rRNA from 1 species